rnacentral:rRNA from 1 species
AAAGGGUGCGUAGGCGGCCUGUUAAGUCAGGGGUGAAAGACGGUAGCUCAACUAUCGCAGUGCCCUUGAUACUGAUGGGCUUGAAUAUACUAGAGGUAGGCGGAAUGUGACAAGUAGCGGUGAAAUGCAUAGAUAUGUCACAGAACACCAAUUGCGAAGGCAGCUUACUAUGGUAUGAUUGACGCUGAGGCACGAAAGCGUGGGGAUCAAACAGGAUUAGAUACCCUGGU